rnacentral:rRNA from 1 species
UACGGGGGGGGCAAGCGUUGUUCGGAAUUACUGGGCGUAAAGGGCUCGUAGGUGGCCAACUAAGUCGGACGUGAAAUCCCCGGGCUCAACCCGGGAACUGCGUCCGGUACUGGAAGGCUUGAAUCCGGGAGAGGGAUGCGGAAUUCCAGGUGUAGCGGUGAAAUGCGUAGAUAUCUGGAGGAACACCGGUGGCGAAGGCGGCAUCCUGGACCGGCAUUGACACUGAGGCGCGAAAGCCAGGGGAGCAAACGGG